rnacentral:rRNA from 1 species
UACGAAGGGGGCGAGCGUUGUUCGGAUUUACUGGGCGUAAAGGGCGCGUAGGCGGCCUUGUCAGUCAGGCGUGAAAGCCCCGGGCUCAACCUGGGAACGGCGCUUGGGACGGCGAGGCUGGAGUUCGGGAGAGGAGAGUGGAAUUCCCAGUGUAGAGGUGAAAUUCGUAGAUAUCGGGAGGAACACCAGUGGCGAAGGCGACUUCCUGGCCUGUUCUUGACGCUGAGGCGCGAAAGCUAGGGGAGCAAACGGG